rnacentral:rRNA from 1 species
UACGAGGGGGGCGAGCGUUGUUCGGAAUUAUUGGGCGUAAAGGGUGCGUAGGCGGCCUGACAAGUCUGAUGUGAAAUCCCUGGGCUCAACCCAGGGCCUGCAUCGGAAACUGUCGGGCUUGAGUAUGGGAGAGGUGAGUGGAAUUUCCGGUGUAGCGGUGAAAUGCGUAGAUAUCGGAAGGAACACCUGUGGCGAAAGCGGCUCACUGGACCAUAACUGACGCUGAGGCGCGAAAGCUAGGGAGCAAACAGG